CCAAGGGCUCUUUUAAGAGCCACCUAUCUUUUCAGCAUAAGGGUUG
rfam:Equus caballus chromosome 20, whole genome shotgun sequence.